rnacentral:misc_RNA from 1 species
AAUCCCAGGUGGUCCAUUGGUCUGAACCAAAGAUGUAUAUGGUUAAAAGAAAUAAUUUCCAGAAUGGGAAACAAAAUAAAUUCAAAGGGGGAAAAAGAAUGAAAUUUACAGCGACACUACCAUGCCAUGAGAAAAUCAAACCAUUUCAAUCAAAUUUUUUACUUACAGUUCUUCUAUUUUAACAAGGGCAAUAAUUAGAUAUCAUCAAUUCUUAAGAUAUAAAAUCACAAUCACUUGACUUUGGAAAAUAAAAAGACACAUUUGCCAUAAACAUUUCACAGAAACAGUCUUUCACACCUGUGAGUGAUAGGUCGUAUGUGA